GUCAGGAUGGCCGAGCGGUCUAAGGCGCUAGACUCAAGUUCUAGUCCACGAAUGUGGGCGUGGGUUCGAAUCCCACUCCUGACA